ACGGGGCCCCACGCCGGCGGCACGGCGGCGGUAGCGCCGAACGGGGCCCCACGCCCACGGCGGCGGGCGCAGCUGCAGUACGGGACAGCACCACAGGGCGGCAGCACCGCCUUAGCUACAACAUCUGGCCUGGGGGCCGUGGGAGACUGAGGGAGGAAAUAAAAAGGCAGAAGGGAUAAAGUAAAAUCACAGCCUCUCUAUCCUUAAUCACACAUGUGGACUUCUCAGCAAUUAUUGACUGAUACAGCUCCAGGUCAGCCGCAUAAAGUCUGCCUUCUGAAUAAGCACUGCAAUAUACAAAAAGUUUAGGAAAAUUAAAGACUAACAAAGACACUUUGCUGAUUAUACUGAAGUUUCUUAAACCUACCUGAAAACCACCUUCUCUUUAGAAAACUCGCAUUUACUGUCAGCUGCCUUCAGCAUUUGUAACCUCAGUGUCACAGUCACAUUAUCUUGAAACCACUUGAUUUGCGGAUGACAACUGCAAGAAAGUUCAUUUAAUGGGGUAUUUUCCAAAGCAGAAAACCACUGAGAUUGAGCCAAGCUGUCUCUCACACAGCCAGAAUUUGCCCAUGAAGACACACGCUCAGCCGAGGAGCCUGAGCCAUGCAGACCAGACACCAGCAGCAGUGCCAGGGAAGCACCACUCAAGGAGUGAGGGGACACACCACUCAAGCCUCCUACAAAAGCACUGCAUUCCAAGUCUUUGAACAAGGACACCUACAAGUUCCAUGGAGACAUAGGCUCCACUGACUUUGGUAUCCACAGGAAUCACACUGCCCAGUUUCAGGAUGCCACCACAGCCUGACCUUGAAAUGCCAAAGGAAAAGCUAACAGUAGCAAAACCAACCUCUGACAGACAAAAGGAACUUUUCAGCUGACCACAGACACAGACAAAACAAUCCUGUUGGCAGUUCACAUAAAAGCAAGAUGGGAACAAAUCAUGGUUCUCUUACCCCUUCUGCUGAUGCACAGUAGAGUCUUCUGCUUCUUUUGCUUGAACUGCAUCAUCUAAAAAGAAGAUACCCAGACACACUUUUUACUUCCCUAUACUAUAGAACCCAGGUAUUUCCAGAAUUCUCCUAUACCAUCAUAAAAGUAACUUCCUAGCAAUCAAACUACUGUCUUUGUCCUUUGUAUUGUGUACUUCCUGUCCUGAAAGAUUUCAUGACCUUAAUAAUUCAACUACAAUUUUUCAUUAUCAAGAGUACUGUAGUUAGUGUAAGAAGAUUUUAAAAAACCUAACUAAACAUGCAGUUUUCCAGGUCAGGUAAAGGUUUUUUCCAGUUUCAAAACAGUGUUUAUUUAACACCUGAAACACACCAUUUUGGCAAAUAGUGGGGAGUUUCAGGGAUGAAAUGACUAAUACAGCUUGAAACAUGGCAUUAGUAUGACUAUUACCAGGGAAAAAAGCCAUCUACAAUAAGCACUCCAGCCUUCUUAUCCGCUGCAACUUCUUCACCUUUCACUGCUUCACACUUGUGUCAGCUGCUAGCAGGAAAUCCUGCCCCCCUGCUAUGCCUAAGCAUUUCUAAGCCUCUGCUGACAGAACAGGAAGCACAUCCUUCAGAUUAAAAAGCAAAGGGGAGGGUGUGGUGUGGGGGGGAAGAGCCAUUUUCGGCCAUCCUGAAUAUUGGGGAAAAAAUCAGCCUCUCAGGGAACAACACUGUUACUCAUGCUCGUAUUUCAACAGAUUUUAACUCCUUUAAACCCUGUGGCCUUCGGCAGCACAGCUCUUGUCCUCUCUGUACAACAGAGACUUCCUGCUCAUAUGUUCCGUUCAGAGCGCCAAAGAAUUCCAAGUGUCUCAAAGACAGAGCAUUACCAAAACAGCCACGCAGUUAGAGUAGCAAGAGUCACUCACAGCAUCUCCUGACUGCUCACUGGAAGGCAGCUGUGGCUUACUGCAAACAUCAGCCACAUGGUGCUGCUCUGUACACCCAGAGCAGCUUGCAGGAUGACUGUUAGGCUGGUAUCAAGCACCUGAAUUCAAGUUUGAGAACUUCUGGAAAUGAUGGGAAGGUUUACCGCUUGGAGGAGUCGCAGAAGUGUUACAGCUUUCCGCAGAAUCUUCCUCUAUCAAUGUAUCCUGUGGACUGGACACCUCCUCUAGACCAGCUGUGUCCUCUUUUGUGCUUCUAAACACAGGACAAGGCAGUUUUAAAAGAAAACCCACAAACGAUAGUCAGAUACUUUGCCUCCCCCUUCUUUAACUUGUACCUUACUAACAAAGCCUGUACUGAAGUUCCAAAUUUUUCAACAGUAGUCUCAGGCUUAGAGAGUCUUUAAAAAAAUGAUCCAAGCAGUUGCAUUACACUCAUUUCAGCACACAUCACCACGAUAAAGUUGUCUGGUCCCUUGCAUUACAUGCUUUGGUGAUGAUAUGGAAGUUCCCAACCUUCCUUUCCCAGGAGAAAGGAAUAAAGGCAAACAGGUAGUACCUGAAACCUCUUAGCCUGAGUCCUCUGUAGAGGAUAAAACCUGAAAAGUAGCCUUCCAAGCAAAAACUUCUCACACCAAAUCUGAGCAGGUAUGGGAAAAGUAAAUCCUUUGGUUAAGAUUAAACUCUGGCAUAUAACCUAGUUACAGACAGGAAUGCAGGAGCCUCAAUCUAAGACAUAAAUACAGUAUGGAGAGGAUCAGGCUUCCUUCUCUUGUUGACUGGCAAAGUCACAGAAAUAACCACAAGAUUAACUGGCUAAAGAAACUCCUACACCGGGGGGCCAUAACAAAAAAGCUACAGGUGUCUUGCUGAUCAGCAUUUUCUAUCACAGGUCUUAGGAUCUGCCACCACACACAGUGUUUUCUCAGUUCUAAAAAUUUACAGGGCAAGGAAAACAAAGUUCAGUGCUGUUUCUGCAAAAUCCACCAGGCAUACAUACUCAUUAAAUGAAGGGUAAUUUCCCCAAUCACUUUAAAGGAAAAGUGGUUAUGUUUUCCAGCUUGAACUCUGCAGCUGAAGACACAAUAUACUGUAGUGCUCUGACUGGUAGUAAGUACUGACUGGUAAGCAUUUGAACCAGCCACUGAGCACCCUAAAUUGUUAAGGGAAUCUGAAUUCAGACUCCGUAUUUUUAUUAUUAAAUUGCACAUCUGCAUAAAAUUCUAGUUUAACAUUUUCUAGCAUUACAAAUUCCUUUUUCUAGUGGUUAUGGGGCUAAAGAAUAGUUAACAGGAAGCAGACAUAUUACAAACACAACUGUUUCUGUAUUUAAAUGAAAAUCAUUGUCAGCAAUAUUAAUCAUAUUCAGUUAAAAUGAAAUACGAUUUUUCUCUUAGCAAAGCAUAUGCUAGAAAAAAAAAUCUGCAAACACUUACAAAUGCUCCAAGUUCUUUGCAUGAUCCAAAACUGGCAUCUGUCUGCACAGCUUCUGAAUUUCUGCUAUAUGUUCGGGAUUAUCAGUUCCCAAACCCGUCGACAAAAUCUCAGAUCGAAUACUGUACUCGUUGAUCCGUAUCUUCAACACGGGAAGGUUGGUAACCCUGACCUUGAAUUACACAACAAAAUAAAGGGAAAGCACUGCUCUUCAAUGGUCUCUCUCCAACUCAAAGCUGCUCCUGAAGUCAAACUUUGAACACAGACCUACUGACUUACACCUGUAGGCAGUUCAGUUUUUCUGAUUUUCACACAGGAAUUUUCCCCAUGUUUAAUUGUUUUCCAAGUAUCACCAUCAUUCCCAUUGUGAUAAUGGCUCAAGUAACUGGCUGUUUGCCCUAACAGAAGCAGGAUGGCAAUAAGUAAACAAUGCUAGCCCUGAUCAUGUAAGUGACAGCUAAAAUACACCUCACACAGUUAAGAACUGCAAGUCUCAAAUCACCUGAGAACUGCCGAGGGGACAGGAGGCACAAUACAAAACCCCAAAGCCUAGAAACUGGUGAAAGGUUGAGAUACACCAUAUGGGAACAGAAGCUACUGAAAAGAAUGACCUCCAGAUCAUUUUCUCUUUCCAAUCAAAUUUUCACUUGACUCACUCCACAAAACCAAAAAGUCUGCUGAUGUUAAUGGACAUGAAACUGUAGAACAAGAAAAACCCAAGAACAAGUGCACCCAUUUUUCCUAUUUCAAUCAAAAAAAUGAAGGAGAAAGUUUCAAUGCUUUUUAAUUUGCAGAGAAACUUACAUUAAAACCAACUGCAAUGCAAACUAGUUUAAGAUCUUCAAGACAUGGCAGACUUUGAAUUAUAAACAUAAUAAAAUAAAUCUACUUCAAGAGCUGUUGGAUAUCAGCAAACAGCCUUGGAGGAUCCAAGUUUCAUUCUUCCAGAGGAAUGUGACAAAAGUGCAGAACUGAUUUCCCAAGACAAACUACUGAAACCUAGUACCUCCAAAAUACACUUCUGUUACUAACUUUGUGGAAAACUCUUGGACCACAUCCAGAUGGAUGAAGAUUGCAUAGUGUUGCCAUUCUAUACCUACCAUUGGGUCAACCCAAACUGUCUUUCCCAAGAAAAUGACAGAGAGAGAAGGUAAAGCACAUAAAGGAAAUAGCAGGAAAAACCUGCUUAUUACCUUUGGAUUCCAUUCAACUUCAUUAUCUAUGGGUUUUACUCUACAAACUAUAAUUUCCACAGCCUGAGCUGGCAGACUCUGGAACUUUGCAGCAAGCCAAAAGCAACCUGGAUCUUCAACCUGGGGCAAAGAGAAGAGAACAAAUACUACCAACUUUUAAGAGUAUCUGAACAGUGGAUGUAAUAAUAAAACUUCAUUUUUAUGGGGCACCUUCAAAAUUAUAGUGAGUGAUACUGAGAUACACAAUGUUCACAAGUUAAACGUCUUUCACCUUCACAGCAUUAGUUCAUGAAAUGGCUUCCCACAUUCCAAGUGUCUUCAGCACUGCAACAAACACCAUGCGGAGUCUACAACGGAGCAGCAUUAUCUAAAAAGUUGGUGUAACCAAACAGUGGGCAAAGUGCAAAGACAAAGCUUUUUACUUCCCUGUGAAGUCCUCAGAAGUACAUCUAAAAACCUAAAAACAUGAUAAAACUCACCAAGGGGCUUUUCUUUGUGCUCAGAGUGUCUGCAUCACAGCCAACUUCUUUAAAACAGGGUGACAGCUUUCUGCUGAGCCUUUGUAAACUGUCACAUUCCAGUGUUCCAGCUGAUCUGGGUCUUCAGCUGUUGUGGCUUAACCCCAGUAGGCAACUAAACCCCCCACAGCUGCUCCCUCACACACAUCCCUGCAGCAGGAGGACCAGACAAUUAGGAUAAAAGUGAGAAAACUCACAGGCCGAUAUUAAAACAGCUGACUAGGCAAAGCAAGAGCUACACGUGAAAGCAAAGCAACAUGAAGAGUGUAUUCACUGUUCUCCACUGGCAGCCAACUGCUUGGCCACUUCCAGGAACACAGAGCUUCACCACGCACAAUGCCGACUUGGAAGGCAAAUCUGAUGACCACAGACAUACCUGCAG